GAUGAACGCUGGCGGCGUGCCUAAUACAUGCAAGUCGAGCGAACAGACGAGGAGCUUGCUCCUCUGACGUUAGCGGCGGACGGGUGAGUAACACGUGGAUAACCUACCUAUAAGACUGGGAUAACUUCGGGAAACCGGAGCUAAUACCGGAUAAUAUAUUGAACCGCAUGGUUCAAUAGUGAAAGACGGUUUUGCUGUCACUUAUAGAUGGAUCCGCGCCGCAUUAGCUAGUUGGUAAGGUAACGGCUUACCAAGGCAACGAUGCGUAGCCGACCUGAGAGGGUGGUCGGCCACACUGGAACUGAGACACGGUCCAGACUCCUACGGGAGGCAGCAGUAGGGAAUCUUCCGCAAAGGGCGAAAGCUUGACGGAGCAACGCCGCGUGAGUGAUGAAGGUCUUCGGAUCGUAAAACUCUGUUAUUAGGGAAGAACAAAUGUGUAAGUAACUAUGCACGUCUUGACGGUACCUAAUCAGAAAGCCACGGCUAACUACGUG
rnacentral:rRNA from 1 species